rnacentral:rRNA from 1 species
AUUGAACGCUGGCGGAAUGCUUUACACAUGCAAGUCGAACGGCAGCACGGACUUCGGUCUGGUGGCGAGUGGCGAACGGGUGAGUAAUACGUCGGAACGCGUCCUGUAAUGGGGGAUAACCUGGCGAAAGCCAGGCUAAUACCGCAUACGUCCUGAGGGAGAAAGCGGGGGAUCGCAAGACCUCGCGUUAUAGGAGCGGCCGAUGUCGGAUUAGCUAGUUGGUGGGGUAAAGCCUACCAAGGCGACGAUCUGUAGCGGGUCUGAGAGGACGGCCCGCCACACUGGGACUGAGACACGGCCCAGACUCCUACGGGAGGCAGCAGUGGGGAAUUUUGGACAAUGGGGGCAACCCUGAUCCAGCCAUUCCGCGUGAGUGAAGAAGGCCUCGG